GAUGUACUCCUACGGGAGGCAGCAGUGGGAAUAUUGCACAAUGGGCGCAAGCCUGAUGCAGCCAUGCCGCGUGUAUGAAGAAGGCCUUCGGUUGUAAAGUACUUCAGCAGUGAGGAAGGUGGGUAGUUAAUAGCAUACUCAUUUGACGUUAGCUGCAGAAGAAGCACCGGCUAACCCGUGCCAGCAGCCGCGGUAAUACGGAGGGUGCGAGCGUUAAUCGGAAUUACUGGGCGUAAAGCGCAUGCAGGUGGUUUAUCAAGUCAGGGGUGAAAGGCUACGGCUCAACCGUAGUGAGCCUCUGAAACUGGUGAACUUGAGUGUAGGAGAGGAAAGUGGAAUUCCCAGUGUAGCGGUGAAAUGCGUAGAUAUUGGGAGGAACACCAGUGGCGAAGGCGACUUUCUGGACUACAACUGACGCUGAGGCACGAAAGCGUGGGGAGCAAACAGGAUUAGAUACCCUGGUAG
rnacentral:rRNA from 1 species